AAUACUUGUCGUUUUGAGUUUUUGUUUGUAACGUUUGAUCAUUCAUCUUAUUAAAGAGAUUAUGGAAUUAUUAUUUAUUUUGUUUGUGACUUGCUUUAUUAUCAAAAGUACUUUAAGUAUGACUUAUCAUUUUUAUAUUUGCACUAAUUUUUUAAAUAAGAUGAAUGGUCAAACGUUGCAAGCGAAAAGUUAGAAUGACAUCUAAU
rfam:Oryza sativa Japonica Group DNA, chromosome 5, cultivar: Nipponbare, complete sequence.